AGAGAGCUAGUCCAAAUAAGACCUCUGAUUUCGACUCAGAAAAUCGCAGUUAAACUCCGCGGCCCCCUU
rnacentral:tRNA from 1 species